ACCACCGUGGCUGCAAUGGCGUCGCCCGCUCCCGCGAAGCCCGUCGCUCUCCGGCGGCCGCCGGUCCCAAUCCGCGGCGGGUUCUGCCCGGCGCGUCCGUCCAUGGCUGCGGCGGCAGGCCGGUUCAGAGUCUCGGCCUCCGCUUCCGCGUCGGACGUGCCCGACUUCCUCUCCUCCGACUGGCUUGAAACACGCAAGAAGAAGCCUUUUGGCCCCAGGUUGAAUUAUAAUGCAGAAGAAGCAGUGGAAUACCAACUUGAGGCCUUGAAAUACAAUGACAAACCCCGCCCGGAUUAUGGGGUAGAGGUCAUGUACCGGUUUGCAGGCUUUGAUCCAUUUGAAAGGUCAACUUAUUUUGGACGACAGUUUGAUCUUGGGCAGUUCGAACGUUUCCGGCGGAUAUUUCACCAUUCGACUUACAGAGUGCUGCUUGGCCACAAAGAAAGAGAGAUAUUAAGCAGACUAUGGGUCGAAGAGAACCAGUUUAAGCAGAGAGUCUGGGUCCGAGGAGCUCGCCCGGAGGAAGAGGAAAUAUUCCAGUUUACAAUGGUUCAGAGAGUUGGUGGCUCAUGGGAUGGUUACUGGCUAACCGAGAGCUUGACCAACAACGACGGGGACGCAUUCUCAGGCGGGGUUGCUUAUUGA
rnacentral:rRNA from 1 species